CCGUCUUGGAUAUGAGUAAAGCAUUUAGAAGCGUGUUCAUUGUAGCUCUGAAAGGACUAUGCUAUGUGGUCCAGACUCUCGGCACUGCAGCUCUCCAUGGCAGAAAACAACCAACAGCAUAACGGAGAAUUGUCCGUCCGUCCGUCUCGGUGAUGUCUUACCGACAUGGAAAUACUUCCUACACGAGAAACUGAACUUGCCCAUUGAAAAUAUGAAAGCGGUCGACCACUACAAAGACAUUAGGAAAACUUAUGAUGAUUUCUUGAAGAAUAGUAAUACAUUAGAUCUGAUUGAUGUUUAUAAAAAAUGUAGCAUCUUGACUUCUAAUUGUGAGAAUAACAUGAUAUCCUCUGUAAGUAUUCUAAGAAUAAUUCUACUUUAAUCAAAUUAAAGUUCAGCUAAAAUACUUUUAUUUUAAGUCAUAGAAUUACUAGUCUUAAAAAUAUAAUGGGAGGCAGAGAAUAAAAAAGUUUUUUUGCUUUUUAAAUCAUGUUAAAAAUGGAAAAUUUAGCUACCCAAAGCCUAGUUUUUACUUGAAAGAAAUAUUUUUGAUAAGUUUUGUUGGUCUUGUGAUAUUAUUAUUUGCCUAAUUUUUACUUGAAAGACAUUUUUGAUAAGUUUUGUUGGGCGCGUGAUAUUUUUAUUUGAUAUAAGAAUAUUUUUCUUAAUAGAAAAAAAAUUGGCAAGGAAAUAGAUUUCAAAUGUCAGAUUUCUUU
rnacentral:lncRNA from 1 species